rnacentral:rRNA from 1 species
AGCAGCCGCGGUAAUUCCAGCUCCAAUAGCGUAUAUUAAAGUUGUUGCAGUUAAAAAGCUCGUAGUUGAAUUUCGGGAUCAGUACGCUGGUCAUGCCUUUGGUAUGUACUGGUGUUACCGGUUCCUACCUUCUGACGAACCGUCAUGUCAUUAAUUUGGUGCGGCGGGGAAUCAGGACUGUUACUUUGAAAAAAUUAGAGUGUUUAAAGCAGGCUC